GUAAUUGAAGAGCAUCAGGUAUCCGAUAUAUGCCAGCUGCAAGAAAAUACAAGACAGGACUCUAACUGCAGAGGCCUGGGAGCCAUGCCCUGGGCAAGACCACUGCAUGGCAAUGCUGAGCAAGAUCAAGAUGUGGACUCUCUCAGCUGUUCCUGCCAUGAUGCCUUCACUCCAUCAUCGUGGACUCUCACCCUCUGAAGCCACAAGCCGAAUUAAAUGCUUUCUUCUAUAAAGAAGGCUUGGCCAUGGUGUUUUGUCACAGUUAUAGAAAAAUAACUAAGCUAGCUUCUCAAAGCAUGGUGUCUGAAGCAGUGUGGUCCAGGUUUCUGUGAUCAUUAGAGACACCUGGGGCUUUUGGUAACGGCCUCCCCACUACUUCCACAGACUUGAUUCAGUUGGGUCCAUGAUAGAUCCUUGAAUUGGGAUUUUUAAUAAAUCCUUCUCUAUUGUGGGCAUUUAAAAAAUAGUGGGCUAAAACUCACUACUCUCUGUUCUGAGUGAGGGCCUUUUAACUCUAGCUGCUCAUUACAAUGACCUGGGGAGCUUUAAUGUAGUACCCAGAGGGAUGACAUAGGAGCCCUGAGGGUUGAGGCUAGGUGUGAGCAUGUUUUUAAAGUGUUCCAACAGAUGGACAAUGACACAUGCCUAUAAUCCCAGUCCUUGAUAGGUGGAGGCAAGGUAAUCAGGAGUUUGAGGAAAACUUGAGUGAGACCAUGGUUUAAAACAAACAAACAAACAAACAAACAAACAAACAAACAAACAA